rnacentral:rRNA from 1 species
UAAGGAAUAUUGGUCAAUGGACGCAAGUCUGAACCAGCCAUGCCGCGUGAAGGAUGAAGGUCCUCUGGAUUGUAAACUUCUUUUAUCUGGGACGAAAACGGGAUUUUUAUCUCAAUUGACGGUACCAGAGGAAUAAGCACCGGCUAACUCCGUGCCAGCAGCCGCGGUAAUACGGAGGGUGCGAGCGUUAUCCGGAUUUACUGGGUUUAAAGGGUGCGUAGGUGGGCUUAUAAGUCAGUGGUGAAAUCUCCGAGCUUAACUUGGAAACUGCCGUUGAUACUAUAGGUCUUGAAUUAUCUGGAGGUAAGCGGAAUAUGUCAUGUAGCGGUGAAAUGCUUAAAUAUGACAUAGAACACCAAUUGCGAAGGCAGCUUACUAUAUAUAAAUUGACGCUGAGGCACGAAAGCGUGGGGAUCAAACA